CGGGACUGGCGGGGCUCGAACC
rnacentral:tRNA from 4 species